rnacentral:rRNA from 1 species
GUAUAAGAGACAGCAGUAGCCGCGGGAAUACGGAGGGUGCAAGCGUUAAUCGGAAUUACUGGGCGUAAAGCGCACGCAGGCGGUCUGACAAGUCAGAUGUGAAAUCCCCGGGCUUAACCUGGGAACUGCAUUUGAAACUGUCAGGCUGGAGUCUUGUAGAGGGGGGUGGAAUUCCAGGUGUAGCGGUGAAAUGCGUAGAGAUCUGGAGGAAUACCGGUGGCGAAGGCGGCCCCCUGGACAAAGACUGACGCUCAGGUGCGAAAGCGUGGGGAGCAAACAGGAUUAGAUACCCCGGUAGUCCCUGUCUCUUAUAC